CAGCACUAGUCGGGUCGGCCGCUCUCUCUCCAACCCCCGAACAGGUGACCGCGGCGACAUAGGCCGCGGCCAGAUGUGGGGCAGGAGAGCUGGCGCCUUGCUCCGGGUGCGAGGCCUGUGGCCGGCAGGGGUCCUCGGAAGGAGACCGCUAAGCUGCAGUGCUGCGUCUCUGGCGGGAAACAGUUCCCCCCAGUGUUGGAACUGCGGUGGCCCAGGGAGCCACAUGCGUGGGGACGGGUUCUUCUGUCCACAGUGCCGCGCGCUGCAGCCACCUGACCCCACUCGAGAUUACUUCAGCCUCCUGGACUGCAACCGUGCCUUCAGAGUUGACACAGCAAAGCUUCAGACUAGGUACCAGGAACUACAGCGUCUUGUCCACCCUGAUUUCUUCAGCCAGAGGUCUCAGACUGAAAAGGACUUCUCAGAGAAGCAUUCAACCCUGGUGAAUGAUGCCUAUAAGACCCUUCUGGCUCCCCUGAGCAGGGGACUAUACCUUCUAAAGCUCCAUGGAGUAGAGAUUCCUGAAGGGACAGAUUAUGAAAUGGACAGGCAGUUCCUCAUGGAAAUAAUGGAAAUCAAUGAAAAACUUGCAGAAGCUCAAAGUGAAGCUGCCAUGAAAGAGAUUGAAUCUAUUGUCAGAGCUAAACAGAAAGAACUGACUGACAAUGUGAGCAGAGCUUUUGAACAAGGAUUGGAAAAUGUGUUGAGAAGCUAGAGCCAGUGUACUAAAUUAAGAAAAUGCAGAUUUAUGACCUGGUGAAUGAGGGGAUACAAACCAUCCACAGAGGAUCAGUUCCCUUCUUGAUGUUGACCUGAGAAGCCACGUGUAGAUGCCUCAUCACCACUACCAGUGCUCACCACAACCGUGCCAAUGUCCAGACAACACAGCUGGUCAACUAAUAAUUAACAAAGAAGAAAGCAGACAGGGGACCUAGACUAAAGGAGACUGGAGAGACAAGGAAACAUAACGCACUGCUGAAUUAUGAUGCCAUCAAAUCAACUAUAAAAAAACCUUUUAAGGGGCACCUAGGUGGCUCAGUGGGUUAAGCCACUGCCUUCGGCUCAGGUCAUGAUCCCAGGAUCCUGGGAUUGAGUCCUGCAUCAGG